rnacentral:rRNA from 1 species
AGUGAACGCUGGCGGUAGGCCUAACACAUGCAAGUCGAACGGCAGCACAGUAAGAGCUUGCUCUUACGGGUGGCGAGUGGCGGACGGGUGAGGCAUACAUCGGAAUCUACUUUUUCGUGGGGGAUAACGUAGGGAAACUUACGCUAAUACCGCAUACGACCUACGGGUGAAAGCAGGGGAGCUUCGGACCUUGCGCGAUUGAUUGAGCCGAUGUCGGAUUAGCUGGUUGGCGGGGUAAAGGCCCACCAAGGCGACGAUCCGUAGCUGGUCUGAGAGGAUGAUCAGCCACACUGGAACUGAGACGCGGUCCAGACUCCUACGGGAGGCAGCAGUGGGGAAUAUUGGACAAUGGGCGCAAGCCUGAUCCAGCCAUACCGCGUGGGUGAAGAAGGCCUUCGGGUUGUAAAGCCCUUUUGUUGGGAAAGAAAAGCAGCAGGUUAAUACCCCGCUGUUCUGACGGUACCCAAAGAAUAAGCACCGGCUAACUUCGUG